GUUAGGGGGAGGCAAACUGUGCUCUCUGUGGCGACGUUAAUGAAUCCAUUGUUUGUGUACCAGUUUUGUUCCCAGUCAUUCCACAGCAAGAACACUGUAAACCUCGGCAUGUGAGCAAAGUGUGUGACAGAAAAAAAAUGUGGUCAGCCUCUGAGACCGGGAGUCCCAGAUCAGUGUUCCUCCAUUUGUUCAUAUGAAUAUGCUGCUGCAGAGGCAGCUGAAGUGCAAAGCAGCUGUCUUACCUCUGCCACAAUAGAGAAGCACAUGACUACAGACAUGCCUGGAAACUAUCCUGUCUCUCACACUAGAUUUGAGCUGGAUGGAGACACACUACGGGGUGGUAUAAGCACCAGGGAUGGCCAGCAGCAGA